AGACCGAUAGCGACCCAUAGAGUGAUCGAAAGAUGAAAAGCACUUUGAAAAGAGGGUUAAAAAGUACGUGAAAUUGUUGAAAGGGAAGCAUUCAUGCCCAGACUUGGGCUUGGUUGAACAUCCGGCGUUCUCGCCGGUGCACUCUGCCAGCUCAGCCAGCAUCAGUUUGCCCCGGGGGACAAAGGCGGCGGGAAUGUGGCUCCCUACGGGAAGUGUUAUAGCCCGUCGUGUAAUGCCCUGGGGUGGACUGAGGGUCGCGCUUCGGCACGGGUGCUGGCGUAAUGGUCAUCAAUGACCCGUCUUGAAACACGGGACCAAG
rnacentral:rRNA from 1 species